rnacentral:lncRNA from 1 species
GCGGUAAAAAGGGAGUUGAAGGAUUUGAUAGCACCUAGAGAAGUAGAGAGUUGGCUGUUCAUAGGACUACAUGGAGAUUUGCAAUCCAUGUGCCAAGACCUUAACCUAGUCUAUUAUGCUUCGUUUACUCUUUUUUUUUUCUUCUCUCUUUCGUUUUUUGGUUUUUCAUAUGUUUCUGUUGGGUUUCAUAUCUAGCCUAACUAUCCUCCUGCAAAUUAGAUGUUGUAACUUAGUAAGAUAGUUUUGCAAUGGUAAGCAUCGUAUGGUUACGGCUAUUUGCUGGUAAUGCUGCUCCUUUGCUGAUGCUUGAAAAUAGAAAUUUGUUGAAAUUUUCUGAUGGUAGUUUGUUUUAUGAUCCCAAACUCCACUAGAGGAGGGACAAUCGGACCAUUUAACACAUUUGCAGAUCUAGUUUAGUUCUUUUGAAGACAAUCAACUUUUCUGUUUGCUGAUCUUGUCUCUAUUCCUCAGAAAACCGAAGAUGGGCAUCACUAACUUGCAUGCAAAUGUUUUGAAAGAUCAAUGCGGAGACAAAAAGACAUGUAGCUCAAGUGCCAUUGGAUGAACUUUCAAGCAGUUCAAGAAUAUCUCAAUAUAAAGAUUCAUUAGCGAUUAGCUUGUGUAUUUUUUUCUACUGUAAGACAAACAACUGUAUUUGUGUAGCGUGCCGAUCCAGCAAUCACGCCCUCUGUUGUAAAUUUUAUCAACUCUUACCUGGUGUACACAAUUGUUUGGGUUACGGUCUGCACUUUGUAAAGAAAAUGCUCCAAUGUGUUGCACUAUACUGCUAGAGUUGUUGCUUUGGACGUUCCAAGUCUGCUACCAACCGAUUCAAGCAAACGAAUAUUUAGAUUUGGACAGGUACAUCAAUUGGACAUUUGCAAACUUCAUCAAUCUUAGUUUGAUCUGAAGUUUCAAAAGGGGGAAAUAAAAAUACUGUUCCCUGUAACCUUGGUAGCUGGCCGACGAUGAAAACCACAAGAUAUAACCUUUUAUUUACUGUAGGAAUUAAAUCAUUGGACUGGUCUUCAAACUGAAACCCUCAUUUCUUUACAAGAUAGCCCAGAAUGAUGCUAAGCAGCCCACACACCAGUACAAAUAUCAGCGAGAAUCCUCCUUUUUUAUCUACUAACAGCAGGGAGUGCCCUGCCGUAUUCCCUUCAAAGAAUAAAAUGAAUUUUCUGGCAGAGCUACUCCAGUUCUUUAUAUCACAUUCUUCAACCAUCUACUGCUGCGUAACUGUAUAAGUGCCUACUUCACACUAUUGAGUGUAUAAGUAAGCAUCUACUUUGUUUCCCAUCCAUAUUCUAGUGUAGGCGCGUGAUAGUUCAGGCAACAAAACUCUGUUGAUAUAAUAUGGGUAUCCCUAAAAGAAUACAAAAGUACACGCAAUGUUGAACAAACUGCACAAAUUAAUGGUGUAUACUGCCACACAUAUGCAACUUGGACCCUUCAAUAGUGUUUUAUGUGUACGUUCUA